CCUACGGGAGGCAGCAGUGAGGAAUAUUGGACAAUGGGUGGAAGCCUGAUCCAGCCAUCCCGCGUGCAGGAAGACGGCCCUAUGGGUUGUAAACUGCUUUUAUCUGGGGAUAAACCUACUUACGUGUAAGUAGCUGAAGGUACCAGAAGAAUAAGCACCGGCUAACUCUGUGCCAGCAGGCGCGGUAAU
rnacentral:rRNA from 1 species